rnacentral:rRNA from 1 species
UACAUAGGGUGCAAGCGUUAUUCGGAAUAACUGGGCGUAAAGGGCGUGUAGGUGGCUUCAGAAGUCUGGCGUUAAAUCUCUUGGCUCAACCAAGAGCUCGCGUUGGAAACCAUGGAGCUUGAGUCCUGCAGGGGUAAGCGGAAUUCCCGGUGUAGCAGUGAAAUGCGUUGAUAUCGGGAGGAACACCUAUGGCGAAGGCAAUCCCCUGGGCCUGCACUGACGCUCAUGCACGAAAGCGUGGGGAGCAAACAGG